rnacentral:rRNA from 1 species
UACGGAGGGUGCGAGCGUUGUCCGGAAUCACUGGGCGUAAAGGGCGCGUAGGCGGCAGGCCAAGCGUGCGGUGAAAGUCCGGGGCUCAACCCCGGAUCUGCCGUGCGGACUGGUUUGCUAGAGCACUGUAGAGGCGAGUGGAAUUCCGGGUGUAGCGGUGGAAUGCGUAGAGAUCCGGAAGAACACCGGUGGCGAAGGCGGCUGCCUGGGCCUGGCCUGACGCUGAGGCGCGAAAGCGUGGGGAGCAAUCCGG